rnacentral:rRNA from 1 species
AGCAGUCGCCGCGGGAAUACGUAGGUCCCGAGCGUUGUCCGGAUUUAUUGGGCGUAAAGCGAGCGCAGGCGGUUAGAUAAGUCUGAAGUUAAAGGCUGUGGCUUAACCAUAGUACGCUUUGGAAACUGUUUAACUUGAGUGCAAGAGGGGAGAGUGGAAUUCCAUGUGUAGCGGUGAAUGCGUAGAUAUAUGGAGGAACACCGGUGGCGAAAGCGGCUCUCUGGCUUGUAACUGACGCUGAGGCUCGAAAGCGUGGGGAGCAAACAGGAUUAGAUACCCCUGUAGUCCCUGUCUCUUAUACAC